AACGAACGCUGGCGGCAUGCCUAACACAUGCAAGUCGAACGAGACCUUCGGGUCUAGUGGCGCACGGGUGCGUAACGCGUGGGAACCUGCCCUUAGGUUCGGAAUAACUCCCCGAAAGGGGUGCUAAUACCGGAUAAUGUCUUCGGACCAAAGAUUUAUCGCCUUUGGAUGGGCCCGCGUUGGAUUAGCUAGUUGGUAGGGUAAAAGCCUGCCAAGGCGACGAUCCAUAGCUGGUCUGAGAGGAUGAUCAGCCACACUGGGACUGAGACACGGCCCAGACUCCUACGGGAGGCAGCAGUGGGGAAUAUUGGACAGUGGGCGAAAGCCUGAUCCAGCAAUGCCGCGUGAGUGAUGAAGGCCUUAGGGUUGUAAAGCUCUUUUACCCGGGAUGAUAAUGACAGUACCGGGAGAAUAAGCGCCGGCUAACUCCGUG
rnacentral:rRNA from 1 species